rnacentral:hammerhead_ribozyme from 1 species
AUUCAGCUGGCGAGUCCUAAAUAGGACGAGACGCGCGUUUUGGAU